AGAGCUCAAAUUUGAAAGCUGGCUCCUUCGGGGUCCGCAUUGUAAUUUGCAGAGGAUGCUUCGGGAGCGGUCCCCAUCUAAGUGCCCUGGAACGGGACGUCAUAGAGGGUGAGAAUCCCGUAUGGGAUGGGGUGUCCGCGCCCGUGUGAAGCUCCUUCGACGAGUCGAGUUGUUUGGGAAUGCAGCUCUAAAUGGGUGGUAAAUUUCAUCUAAAGCUAAAUAUUGGCCGGAGACCGAUAGCGCACAAGUAGAGUGAUCGAAAGAUGAAAAGCACUUUGAAAAGAGAGUUAAAAAGCACGUGAAAUUGUUGAAAGGGAAGCGCUUGCGACCAGACUCGCUCGCGGGGUUCAGCCGGCAUUCGUGCCGGUGUACUUCCCCGCGGGCGGGCCAGCGUCGGUUUGGGCGGUCGGUCAAAGGCCCUCGGAAGGUAACGCCCCUAGGGGCGUCUUAUAGCCGAGGGUGCAAUGCGACCUGCCUAGACCGAGGAACGCGCUUCGGCUCGGACGCUGGCAUAAUGGUCGUAAGCGACCCGUCUUGAAACACGGACCAAGGAGUCUAACAUCUACGCGAGUGUUCGGGUGUCAAACCCGUGCGCGAAGUGAAAGCGAACGGAGGUGGGAACCCUUACGGGUGCACCAUCGACCGAUCCUGAAGUCUUCGGAUGGAUUUGAGUAAGAGCGUAGCUGUUGGGACCCGAAAGAUGGUGAACUAUGCCUGAAUAGGGCGAAGCCAGAGGAAACUCUGGUGGAGGCUCGU
rnacentral:rRNA from 1 species